rnacentral:rRNA from 1 species
AGGGUUCGAUUAUGGCUCAGAAUGAACGCUGGCGGCGCGCUUAACACAUGCAAGUCGAACGAGAUCUUCGGAUCUAGUGGCAGACGGGUGAGUAACGCGUGGGAACCUGCCCUUUAGUAGAGAAUAACUCGGGGAAACUCGAGCUAAUACUUUAUACGCCCUUCGGGGGAAAGCUUUAUGCGCUAUUGGAUGGGCCCGCGUUAGAUUAGUUUGUUGGUGAGGUAACGGCUCACCAAGGCUACGAUCUAUAGCUGGUCUGAGAGGAUGAUCAGCCACACUGGGACUGAGACACGGCCCAGACUCCUACGGGAGGCAGCAGUGGGGAAUAUUGGACAAUGGGGGCAACCCUGAUCCAGCGAUGCCGCGUGAGUGAUGAAGGCCUUAGGGUUGUAAAGCUCUUUUGUCAGGGAAGAUAAUGACGGUACCUGAAGAAUAAGAUCCGGCUAACUCCGUGCCAGCAGCCGCG